UAGGGGUCACCUCUAAAGGAGUAAAAAACAUAGUUCAAUUCUGUUAUAUUUAUUUAAUGAAAUAUUUACUAAGUUUAUGAGCUAUUAAAGGGAUAAUACAAAAUUAUAGGAUGAGUAUAUGUGUUAAUAUUAUGAAAAUUACGUAUAGAUAAAAUAAUUUUCAAUACAAAUAUAAUUACUUAAUUAAGAAUUCGGCAAAUAAAGUGAUUGGAGGUUAACUAAAAACCUAGUUUAAUGAGUUAUGUGUGUUCUCUAAUAUUAGGCAGCUUCUGCUCAGUGAAUAGUAUGUUUAACGGCGCCAUUAGGUUUAAUGUAGCAUAAUAUUGUCUAUUAAUUGUAGUCUUGUGAAGAAGAAACAGUCACCUGCUUUUUUAUUAAGUUAAGUGAAAAUUCAAACGGCAGUGAAAAUUCUGUCUAUUUUAAUAAAGAAAAAAAGACCCUAGGUACUUUAAUAUUAAGCCAUUAUGAUUUAUGUAUAUGGCUAAUAUAUUUUUACUGGGGCAGUAAUAUUUUAUUUGGUAUUAAUGUAUUAACUAAUAGAUUAUCGGUCAUGUUGAAUGGAAUUUAAUAUUGUGAUGUGAGCUGAAAUAGCCACAUCAUAAAAGUAACCCUAGGGAUAACAGCGCAAUCUACCAGGAAAGAUUCAUAUUAAUUGGUAGGCUUACGACCUCGAUGUCGACUUGUACUUUAUUUAAAUUUGCAGUAAAAUUUAAUUUAUGUUUGUUCACCAUUUAAUAGUGUACGUGAGUUGGGUUUAGAACGGGGCAACUUAGUUUGGAUUUUUUCUUAUGGUUAUUUUAGUAGUAGUACGAAAGGAAAAUUAUUAGGUAUAUGAAUAAAA
rnacentral:misc_RNA from 1 species